AGAGUUUGAUCCUGGCUCAGGAUGAACGCUGGCGGCGUGCCUAAUACAUGCAAGUCGAGCGAACGGACGAGAAGCUUGCUUCUCUGAUGUUAGCGGCGGACGGGUGAGUAACACGUGGAUAACCUACCUAUAAGACUGGGAUAACUUCGGGAAACCGGAGCUAAUACCGGAUAAUAUUUUGAACCGCAUGGUUCAAAAGUGAAAGACGGUCUUGCUGUCACUUAUAGAUGGAUCCGCGCUGCAUUAGCUAGUUGGUAAGGUAACGGCUUACCAAGGCAACGAUGCAUAGCCGACCUGAGAGGGUGAUCGGCCACACUGGAACUGAGACACGGUCCAGACUCCUACGGGAGGCAGCAGUAGGGAAUCUUCCGCAAUGGGCGAAAGCCUGACGGAGCAACGCCGCGUGAGUGAUGAAGGUCUUCGGAUCGUAAAACUCUGUUAUUAGGGAAGAACAUAUGUGUAAGUAACUGUGCACAUCUUGACGGUACCUAAUCAGAAAGCCACGGCUAACUACGUGCCAGCAGCCGCGGUAAUACGUAGGUGGCAAGCGUUAUCCGGAAUUAUUGGGCGUAAAGCGCGCGUAGGCGGUUUUUUAAGUCUGAUGUGAAAGCCCACGGCUCAACCGUGGAGGGUCAUUGGAAACUGGAAAACUUGAGUGCAGAAGAGGAAAGUGGAAUUCCAUGUGUAGCGGUGAAAUGCGCAGAGAUAUGGAGGAACACCAGUGGCGAAGGCGACUUUCUGGUCUGUAACUGACGCUGAUGUGCGAAAGCGUGGGGAUCAAACAGGAUUAGAUACCCUGGUAGUCCACGCCGUAAACGAUGAGUGCUAAGUGUUAGGGGGUUUCCGCCCCUUAGUGCUGCAGCUAACGCAUUAAGCACUCCGCCUGGGGAGUACGACCGCAAGGUUGAAACUCAAAGGAAUUGACGGGGACCCGCACAAGCGGUGGAGCAUGUGGUUUAAUUCGAAGCAACGCGAAGAACCUUACCAAAUCUUGACAUCCUUUGACAACUCUAGAGAUAGAGCCUUCCCCUUCGGGGGACAAAGUGACAGGUGGUGCAUGGUUGUCGUCAGCUCGUGUCGUGAGAUGUUGGGUUAAGUCCCGCAACGAGCGCAACCCUUAAGCUUAGUUGCCAUCAUUAAGUUGGGCACUCUAAGAUGACUGCCGGUGACAAACCGGAGGAAGGUGAGGAUGACGUCAAAUCAUCAUGCCCCUUAUGAUUUGGGCUACACACGUGCUACAAUGGACAAUACAAAGGGCAGCGAAACCGCGAGGUCAAGCAAAUCCCAUAAAGUUGUUCUCAGUUCGGAUUGUAGUCUGCAACUCGACUACAUGAAGCUGGAAUCGCUAGUAAUCGUAGAUCAGCAUGCUACGGUGAAUACGUUCCCGGGUCUUGUACACACCGCCCGUCACACCACGAGAGUUUGUAACACCCGAAGCCGGUGGAGUAACCUUUUAGGAGCUAGCCGUCGAAGGUGGGACAAAUGAUUGGGGUGAAGUCGUAACAAGGUAGCCGUAUCGGAAGGUGCGGCUGGAUCACCU
rnacentral:rRNA from 1 species